GUCGUGGAAAACUUGCAGGACAUUCCGGCAGUCACUGGAUUGUUGGCCUUUCAGAAAGAUAGUCAAACUCUAAAUUUCAGAGGCAACGAGACAUGGAAAACUCUUGCUGAAGAGGAAAAGAUCACGCAAGGUGUGUCCGAGAUUAAUGGGCAAUUGGCAAUUGUGAAAGAGAGCUUAGAGGAUUUGAAAAAUCAGACGGUGAAGAAUUUCAGAUAUUUGGAGG